rnacentral:lncRNA from 1 species
UCCAAAUUUAUUACUACUCACCCCAGAUUUUCUUCCGAUAAAUUUUACAACUUUCUUUCACAGAUUCGAUGCCACGAGCUGUGUAAACUUUGAGCAGAUUCAUAUCACACAAAGGUUUGCUUCCUUCUAUUCAAGAACACAAUAACAUAGCUAUCACCAAUUGUUUUCACAAAACAAAAUCAAUCAAGAUGUUCAUAUGCAUGUACUUUGCAUAAUCUGAAGCAUUUAUUUCAUAAACUGAAUCAAGUUUUCUUGAAGUGAAUAAAUGAGUAGAAAAAUGUUUUUAAAUUGGAAAAAAAGGGGAAUAAUUUGCUGUCGGAUGUGGGUGACUCGAGGCAAGUCGGGGACUGAGAGGCGGCUGCGGCUUGAUUGCUGCUGCUGCUGCUGCUCGAGAGUUGAGGGAGAAACCGGCGGCGGCGGAGGCUGUUGAUUGUUGUUGUCUGUCGGUCGGGAGGAGAGAAAAUGGGCAGGGCGGUGGUCCUUGUGGGCUGCUGUUCAGCCGGUCGAUGGAGGAGGAAGGCGGCUGAGCGGCGACGCCGCUGUUACCGCGGCUGUUGUCGCCGGCAAGGGAGAGGUGCCGGGCGUCCGUUGGAGAGGAAGAAGAACAAAAAUAAAAAAUAGAGAGAGACCGAUAGAUAAGAGAGAUAGAAGGGAGAUGGGCUUGUUGAAUUAUUGUUGGGUUUAAUUAAAUGAUGAGCAUGGGCUGCAUUUUGAUGUUGAGCUUGGCACUUGUUUAUUUAGUGAGAUGAAUUGGACUUAAGUUUUUCGUUUGAUUAAUUUGAGCCUUGGCUUGGUUAUUUAUUCAAAGUUGCAUAAUAAAUAUUAUUGCAUUAAGUAUGAGAUUUUAGAUAUGUGAUUAUAGCAUGAGUUUGCAAAAGAGUUCAAAAUUUUUAAGCUAUACUUUUGCAAUAAGUAUUUUGAAAUUGGGAUUUAGUUAUGUUUAAUGAGAGGUCGAUUAAUUGCCGAACUAGGAUUUAAGAAUUUUAUGGAAAUGUUAGCAGAGACGAUAUUUUGAGGCCUAUUAAGAUUAGAUUAUCUUGUAGGUCCACUUGAUAGAAGGCUUUAGCACUGAUUUUACAAGAAGAGAAUUGUGCAAGAUUUAUUUACAGGCUUGUUAUCAAGGUGGGUUUUUAUUUUCCAAAGUAUGUUUUGAGUUAUUAAGCUCUACUUGUUUUAUGCAAAUGCAAAUGAAUGUCCAUGUUAAAAUGUUUUUAUCUCUCUAUUGUUUAAAGUGCUCCUAUGUUCUCUAACGAUCGGGUCCUAGCCGGCGUAGCGAUUGGAUCGCCCUGGUUAGGAUUGUGUACACACAAGGGGGUAUUGUGGGCUGCUCCCACUUGCCUCAGACUGUUAGACUUGGGCUGCUCCUAUUUCUGAAACAUGCAUGGUAGUGGACCUCUGUGGGCUGCUCCCACAUGUUCACAUUAUAGGCGAAGCACCAGUAGAGAGAAGACUGAAAAUGGAUCCACAAUUUAUUUUAA